CUUUGUUUGCUUUCUGGUCGUGGUGGAUGAGCUGUCUGCCUCGUGGUGUGAGUGCUGCUUGUGGGUGGAGGUGCGAUGUGCCCACGGGCUGCCAGAACUGAUGGAGUUAUUACAGGAGGUUUUGUGAAAGCUUUACAAACUAAACUCAGGCGGCCUCCCCACAGUGGUUUGUUGGGAACACGAAAGGCUUUUCUCGGCUCUUUGGGGGUCUCUGUGUGCUGACCCCUACGGGACUGUGGCAGUGGGUUUCCCCAAGGUGACCUUGCACAGAGCUCGCAGCAUCCCUGGGCGCAGGCUGGUGAAGGGGCUCACACACUGCUGGCUCUGCAAGCAGCCAGCCAUAUGUAAAGCAGGAUGGAUUUGCCUCAAGCAAUCUGCUGUUUACACAAGUUUGAAUCAAGUCCAUCUUUUCCAUUUGUGCCUAAUAGAUAAAUUGGGGGUGAUUAAAACCAAUUUUCGGUUCAUUCAGUUUAUCCAAAUAUUUUUUUUUUCGUACAGAUGUGUACUGCACUGUAAUUACCAUAAAUUUACUCGGCGGCAUUUGCAUGACAACACCACGAAAGCUUAAUACUGUUCUCUCGUUUGCAGCAUUUGGAGACCACAAUCCUUGCUAUCCAGCGAUGUGUGAUGCCCGAUUCAUCCAGCUCAGGUGGUGCUUCAGCAGGAAAAAACCAACAACCAAACCAACAACAACCAAACAGCUUUAAGAAUCACAGAAGACUGUGAAGCAGUUUACCUGGGGGUGAAGUUCUUUGCUUGCGUAAAGCAGCCGCUGUUGGUUCCACAGCUGACAGUAUCACAGUGAGUGGUGUCAUUCGAGCUCAUUAUUUAAUUAAAAGAUUCUGAGUGUGUGUGAGUGUGAAGGAUGAAAGACUUGCAAAUCAGCUCUCCUGAUGGCUGCCUUGUCCAGAGUGAUGAGCGGUGCAGGGUAUGCUCUUCACUGGUGUAUUUAUGACAAAAUCACGUCGUUCUCUGUACUUUAUUUGAAUAAAAACUGGACUAAUG
ensembl:lncRNA